GGACAACCAGUCGUGCCAUCCAUGGGUGGUUGGUACAGUAUGUUUUUGGCCGCCAGAGAAGGAGGAGAAAAAGGUGGGAUUCUAUGUAAGGAAAAACAAGCCUCCUGGAAUGCACUGGCGAUUUCUUGGGUGUCAGGAAAUGGAAGCAUAUGAAAGCUGUGAGGAGGCACGAAAAAUGCUCCCCAUUGCCACAAACACCUCUGACCUCAACGGUGAGCUGGAGUACGGAAGGGGAAAAAGACGCAGAGUCAGAAGGUUGCCGUCCGACGAUGAUAGCCCUCCGCCUGUCACACCUCCCCGCCGCAGCCAACCAACAUGCAAUGAAGGCCAUGCAGCCAGCGAAAGGCACACCCAAAGGAGGAAGCAUCUUCCUGAACUUUCAGAUGAGGAGUACUCACUACCUGGCAACCCCUCCUCGUCCUCUUCGUAAACAAAAACACACAAAGGAUGUGCAACGUUCAAGCUCCUAGCCAAGCCUAUUUCAUUUGGGAGGUUCAAGUAGAGAAGGCAGACAGAGUACAAACUGUGAUGAAUCACCUGGAGCUUCGGAAAUCUGCGCGCCUGGAAGAACACAA